GUUGAGGACCAGGUACUCUUCCAUAAUUGGGGAGGCCCAGGUGUUCUUCUGUGACCGUGGAGGCCCAGGUGUUCUUCUGUGACCGUGGAGGCCCAGGUGUUCUUCUGUGACCGUGGAGGCCCAGGUGUUCUUCUGUGACCGUGGAGGCCCAGGUGUUCUUCUGUGACAGUGGAGGCCCGGGUGUUCUUCUGUGACAGUGGAGGACCAGGUGUUCUUCUAUGACAGUGGAGGCCUGGGUGUUCUUCUGUGACAGUGGAGGCCCAGGUGUUCUUCUAUGACAGUGGAGGCCCGGGUGUUCUUCUGUGACCGUGGAGGCCCAGGUGUUCUUCUGUGACAGUGGAGGCCCGGGUGUUCUUCUGUGACGGUGGAGGCCCAGGUGUUCUUCUAUGACAGUGGAGGCCCGGGUGUUCUUCUGUGACAGUGGAGGCCCGGGUGUUCUUCUGUGACAGUGGAGGCCCGGGUGUUCUUCUGUGACGGUGGAGGCCCGGGUGUUGUUCUGUGACAGUGGAGGCCCGGGUGUUCUUCUGUGACGGUGGAGGCCCGGGUGUUCUUCUGUGACAGUGGAGGCCCGGGUGUUCUUCUGUGAUGGUGGAGGCCCGGGUGUUCUUCUGUGACAGUGGAGGCCCGGGUGUUCUGUGACAGUGGAGGCCCGGGUGUUCUUCUGUGACGGUGGAGGCCCAGGUGUUCUUCUGUGAUGGUGGAGGCCCAGGUGUUCUUCUGUGACGGUGGAGGCCCGGGUGUUCUUCUGUGACCGUGGAGGCCCGGGUGUUCUUCUGUGACGGUGGAGGCCCGGGUGUUCUUCUGUGAUGGUGGAGGCCCGGGUGUUCUUCUGUGACGGUGGAGGCCCGGGUGUUCUUCUGUGAUGGUGGUGUGCCGGGUGUUCUUCUGUGAGCACAAGGCUU